AUCGCUUCUCAGCCUUUUGGCUAAGAUCAAGUGUAGUUUAUUUUCUUAUCAGUUACUCCUUGGGCUAACACCUGCCAGAAAACUUCUCCUGUUGAGAUUUGCCUGUGGUACACUGAACACAACCAAAUCUCAUUCAUC
rnacentral:snRNA from 1 species